CCGGCUCCGGAUAAGCAGCGGCUUGGCGUGGGCUGCGCGGAGAAUGGACGGCCUCGUGACCUAAUGUCCGGCAGGCUGUAGUGCCUGCCGAGCCGGCUCGCGCAGCGGGUGGAGCCGCGGGAGCGGCGGGCACUUCCGGAAUCGACCGGCUGCCUGAGUGCCCGCGCCACCCGCUACCAUGAACGAGGAGGCCAUCUGCAGCGCCCUGCCCACCAUCCCGUACCACAAGCUCGCCGACUUGCGCUACUUGAGCCGCGGCGCGUCCGGCACCGUGUCUUCUGCCCGCCACGCAGACUGGCGCGUUCAGGUGGCCGUGAAACACCUGCACAUUCACAGCCCGCUGCUCGACAGUGAAAGAAAUGAUGUCUUAAGAGAAGCUGAAAUUUUGCACAAAGCUAGAUUUAGUUACAUUCUUCCAAUUUUGGGAAUUUGCAAUGAGCCUGAAUUUUUGGGAAUAGUUACUGAAUACAUGCCAAAUGGGUCAUUAAAUGAACUCCUACAUAGGAAAAAUGAAUAUCCUGAUGUUCCUUGGCCAUUAAGAUUUCGUAUUCUGCAUGAAAUUGCACUAGGUGUAAAUUACCUGCACAAUAUGAAUCCUCCUCUACUUCAUCAUGACCUGAAGACUCAGAAUAUCUUAUUGGAUAAUGAAUUUCACGUUAAGAUUGCAGAUUUUGGCUUAUCAAAAUGGCGCAUGAUGUCCCUGUCACAAUCACGAAAUAGUAAAUCUGCACCAGAAGGAGGGACAAUUAUCUAUAUGCCACCUGAAAACUAUGAACCUGGACAAAAAUCAAGGGCUACUAUCAAGCAUGAUAUAUACAGCUAUGCAGUUAUCACAUGGGAAGUCUUAUCUAGAAAACAGCCUUUUGCAGAAGUCACCAAUCCUUUGCAGAUUAUGUAUAGUGUGUCACAAGGACAUCGACCUGACACUAAUGAAGAAAGUUUGCCAUUUGAUAUACCUCAUCGAGCACUUAUGAUCUCUCUAAUAGAAAGUGGAUGGGCACAAAAUCCAGAUGAAAGACCGUCUUUCUUAAAAUGUUUAAUAGAACUUGAACCAGUUCUGCGAACAUUUGAAGAGAUAACUUUUCUUGAAGCUGUUAUUCAACUAAAGAAAACAAAGAAUGCUUCAAGUACCGCUCACUUAUGUGACAAGAAGAAAAUGGAGUUAUCUCUGAACAUACCUGUAAAUUAUGGUCCACAGGAGGAAUCGUGUGGAUCCGCUCAGCUCCAUAAAACUAGUGUUUCUCCUGGAACCUCAAGGACCCUUUCAGCUCCUCAAGACAAUGAUUUUUUAUCUAGAAAAACUCAAGACUUUUCUGUGAUGCGUCAAUGUCCAGUAAAUCACAGUUGUGACAGUAACAUUUCUGUGGCUCAAAGAGCAAUAUUCUGUGAUCACAGGGCUGCUCCAUGCUCCUUAGCAAUAAUAAAUCCACUCUCAGCGGAGGGAAAUUCAGAGCAAUUUCAGCCUGGUAUAACCCAACAGUGGAUCCAGAGUAAAAGGGAAGAUAUUGUGAACCAAAUGACUGAAGCCUGCCUUAACCAAUCUCUAGAUGCCCUCCUGUCCAGGGAUUUGAUCAUGAAGGAGGACUAUGAACUCAUUAGUACCAAACCUACAAGGACCUCAAAAGUCAGACAAUUAUUGGAUACUAGUGACAUCCAAGGAGAAGAAUUUGCCAAAGUUAUAGUACAAAAAUUGAAAGAUAACAAGCAAAUGGGUCUUCAACCUUACCCAGAAAUACUUGUGGUUUCUGAAUCUUCAUCUUUAAAUUUAUUCCACAAUAAAAACCUAUAAGUAACUCUUUUUCAAGAAGAAAAGUCAAUGCAUAAAAGGCCUCAAGUAACAAUCAAGGUAACAACCAACGUUAACAGCAUGAUGUGUAUCGUUCUAUCCCUUUCUUCCUGCUCAUACUUAAAGUAUAUGCCUGGGGGGGACUUUCAAGAUGGCGGAGGAGUAAGACAUGGAGAUCACCUUCCUCCCCACAAAUACAUCAAAAAUACAUCUACAGGACUUCCCUGGUGGCGCAGUGGUUGAGAGUCUGCCUGCUGAUGCAGGGGACACGGGUUCGUGCCCCGGUCCGGGAAGAUCUCACAUGCCGCGGAGUGGCUGGGCCCGUGAGCCAUGGCCGCUGAGCCUGCGCGUCCAGAGCCUGUGCUCUGCAACGGGAGAGGCCACAACAGUGAGAGCCCCGUGUACCGCAAAAAAAAAGAAAAAAAAAAUACAUCUACGUGUGGAACAACUCCUGCGGAACACCUACUGAACACUGGUGGAAGACCUCAGACUUCCCAAAAGGCAAGAAACUCCCCACGUACCUGGGUAGGGAAAAAGGAAAAACAGAGACAAAAGAAUAGGGACAGGACCUGCCCCUCCGGGAGGGAGCUGACAAGGAGGAAACGUUUCCACACACUAGGAAGCUCCUUCACUGGUGGAGAUGGGGGGUGGGCAGUGGGGAAGCUUCAGGGCCAUGGAAGAGAGCACAGCAGCGGGAGUGUAGAGGGCAAAGUGGAGAUAUUCCCACACAGAGGAUCAGUGCCUACCAGCACUCACCAGCCAGAGAGGCUUGUCUGCUCACCUGCCAGGGCGGGUGGGGGCUGGGAGCUGAGGCUCAGGCUUCGGAGGUUAGAUCCCAGGGAGAGGACUGGGGUUGCUUGUGUGAGCACAGCCUGAAGGGGGCUAGUGAUCCACAACUAUCUGGGAGGGAGUCCGGGAAAAAGUCUGGACCUGCCUAAGAGGCAAGAGACCAUUGUUUCAGGGUGCGCAAGGAGAGAGGAUUCAGAGCAUUGUCUAAACGAGCUCCAGAGACAGGCGCGAGCCACGGCUACCAGUGCGGACACCAAAGGCGGGCAUGAGACACUAAGGUUGCUGCUGCAGCCACCAAAAAGCCUGUGUGCCAGCACAGGUCACUAUCCACACCUCCCCUCCUGGAGCCUAUGCAACCUGCCACUGACAGGGUCCCAUGAUCCAGGGACAAAUUCCCCGGGAGAACACACGGUGCACCUCAGGCUGUUGCAAUAUCACACCAGCCUCUGCCAGUCAGGCUCGCCCUGCUUUCCGUACCCAUCCCUCCCUCCUGGCCUGAGUGAGCCACAGCCCCCUAAUCAGCUGCUCCUUUAACCCCUCCCUGUCUGGGCGGGGAACAGACGCCCUCAGGUGACCUACACGCAGAGGUGGGGCCAAAUCCAAAGCUGAACCUCAGGAGCUGUGCAAAGAAGAGAAAGGGAAAUCUGUCCCAGCAGCCUCAGGAGCAGUGAAUUAAAUCUCCAUAAUCAACUUGAUGUACCCUGCAUCUGUGGAAUACCUCAACAGACAACAAAUCAUCCCAAAAUUGAGACGGAGGACUUUGGGAGCAACUGUAGAGAUCUAAAAACUCAAGAUUUCCAAUCAGUCUGUAUGCUUAUGGCUCUGUGCAUACCAGCCACUUUCUUCCAUAACUUAGGGAGGCACAGAUGCAGUCAUCCGUCAUUGCAGCUCUGCAAAUUUUUCUGCACAAAUAACAAUGUACAAUGAUGAAGAUUAUGACAAGGAUCAAGAUGAAUCUACGAUGAGCUCUCAGCCAUUAGUAGAAUUGUUACAGUCUCAGCAACCAAUGUUCAUUAUACCAGUAAUCGAUACAGUGAUGUUUAGGGGAAGGUGCCACAAGGUAUUCUGAGUAUGACCUGUCAGUAUAGAACAGGGCCUGGCGUAGACAGUUUCUAACUAUCUCUUUAAUGAAUUGUUCAUUGGAAUGAAAGCUGGAGAAGGGAGGAGGAAGAUGUUUCCUUGAAAUCACAUUUCCCAGGAUGUAAUGUGAAUACAGCUGGUAGUAGAUGGGAUUGUUUCAGGUAGUAUCCAGACAAACAGCACUAAAUUAACAUUUGAGUCACAAAGGAAGUUCUUUGUAAUUCUUUAUUGAGUCAUCUAGUUAAGUAAAGCAGAAUGUUACAGUUGUGCUAUCAUCCUUUAUUGUUAAGAAAAAGACUAGGCUUCAGGAAAAA